GACGAACGCUGGCGGCGUGCUUAACACAUGCAAGUCGAACGGAAAGGCCCUGCUUUUGUGGGGUGCUCGAGUGGCGAACGGGUGAGUAACACGUGAGUAACCUGCCCUUGACUUUGGGAUAACUUCAGGAAACUGGGGCUAAUACCGGAUAGGAGCUCCUGCUGCAUGGUGGGGGUUGGAAAGUUUCGGCGGUUGGGGAUGGACUCGCGGCUUAUCAGCUUGUUGGUGGGGUAGUUGCUUACCAAGGCUUUGACGGGUAGCCGGCCUGAGAGGGUUACCGGCCACAAUGGGACUGAGAUACGGCCCAGACGCCUACGGGAGGCAGCAGGGGGGAAUAUUGCACAAUGGGCGGAAGCCUGAUGCAGAAACGCCGCGUGCGGGAUGACGGCCUUCGGGUUGUAAACCGCUUUCGCCUGUGACGAAGAGUGAGUGACGGUAAUGGGUAAAGAAGCACCGGCUAACUACGUG
rnacentral:rRNA from 1 species